UACGUAGGGUGCAAGCGUUGUCCGGAAUUAUUGGGCGUAAAGAGCUCGUAGGCGGUCUGUCGCGUCGGCUGUGAAAACCUGGGGCUCAACUCCGGGCCUGCAGCCGAUACGGGCAGACUAGAAUUCGGUAGGGGAGACUGGAAUUCCUGGUGUAGCGGUGAAAUGCGCAGAUAUCAGGAGGAACACCGGUGGCGAAGGCGGGUCUCUGGGCCGAUAUUGACGCUGGGGAGCGAAAGCGUGGGGAGCGAACAGG
rnacentral:rRNA from 1 species